UAGCUCAACUGGUAGAGCACGACAUUAAGGUUGCCAGGGCUAGGGGUUCGAUUCCCACUGGGACUGA